rnacentral:rRNA from 1 species
UUGACGGGGCCCGCACAAGCGGUGGAGUAUGUGGUUAAUUCGAUGCAACGCGAAGAACCUUACCUGGUCUUGACAUCCCGGAGACCCUUAGGAAACUAGGGGUGCUUCCAUCUGGAAGAAUCUGGAGACAGGUGCUGCAUGGCUGUCGUCAGCUCGUGUCGUGAGAUGUUGGGUUAAGUCCCGCAACGAGCGCAACCCUUGCCUUUAGUUGCCAGCAGUUCGGCUGGGCACUCUAAAGGGACUGCCGGUGUUAAACCGGAGGAAGGUGGGGAUGACGUCAAGUCCUCAUGGCCUUUAUGACCAGGGCUACACACGUACUACAAUGGCCGAUACAAAGGGCGGCGACACUGCGAGGUGAAGCCAAUCCCGUAAAAUCGGUCUCAGUCCGGAUUGGAGUCUGCAACUCGACUCCAUGAAGUUGGAAUCGCUAGUAAUCGUGGAUCAGCAUGCCACGGUGAAUACGUUCCCGGGCCUU